GAUGAACGCUGGCGGCGUGCUUAACACAUGCAAGUCGAACGGAAAGGCCCUGCGUUUGCUGGGUGCACGAGAGGCGAACGGGUGUGUAACACGCGAGUAACCUGCCCUUGUCUUUGGGAUAACUUCAGGAAACUGGGGCUAAUACCGGAUAGGAGCUCCUGCUGCACAGUGGGGGAUGGUAAGUUUCGGCGGUUGGGGAUGGACUCGCGGCUUAUGAGCUUGAUGGGGAAGUAGUGGCAUACCAAGGGUGCGACGGGUAGCCGGCCUGAGAGCGUGAACAGCCACAUUGGGCCUGAGGUACGGCGCAGAAUGCUAUGGGAGGCAACGGGGGGGAAUAUUACACAGUGGGCGGGCGCCUGAUGUGGCAACGUCGGGAGCGGAAUAACGGGCUACGGGUUGUAAACAGCUUUGUCCUGUAACGAAGCCUGAGUGACGGUACUGGGUCAGGAAGCACCGGCUAACUACGUG
rnacentral:rRNA from 1 species